rnacentral:rRNA from 1 species
GACGAACGCUGGCGGCGUGCUUAACACAUGCAAGUCGAACGGAAAGGCCCUGCUUUUUUGGGGUGCUCGAGUGGCGCACGUGUGAGUAACACGUGAGUCACCUUCCCUUGACUUUGGGAUAACUUCAGGAAACUGGGGCUAAUACCUGCUAGGAGCUCCUGCUGCAUGGUGGGGUUUGGACAGUUUCGGCGGUUGGGGAUGGACUCGCGGCUUAUCAGCUUGUUGGUUGGGUAGUGGCUUACCAAGGCUUUGACGGGUAGCCGGCCUGAGAGGGUGACCGGGCACAUGGGGACUGAGAUACGGCCCAGACUGCUACGGGAGGCAGCAGGGGGGAAUAUUGCACAAUGGGCGGAAGCCUGAUGCAGCAACGCCGCGUGCGGGAUGACGGCCUUCGGGGUGUAAACCGCUUUCGCCUGUGACGAAGCGGGAGUGACGGUAAUGGGUAAAGAAGCACCGGCUAACUACGUG